GAGGCUUUUUGGAUAUUGAACUCGAGUUGGAAGAGGCGAGUCCGGUCUCAAAAUGGAGGGUCAUGAUCCAAAGGAACCAGAGCAGCUGAGGAAGCUGUUCAUUGGUGGUCUGAGCUUUGAAACCACAGAUGAUAGCUUAAGAGAACAUUUUGAGAAAUGGGACACACUAACAGACUGUGUGGUAAUGAGGGAACCCCAAACAAAACGUUCCAGAGGCUUUGGUUUUGUGACCUACUCUUGUGUUGAAGAGGUGGAUGCUGAAAUGUGUGCUCAGCCACACAAGGUUGAUGGGCGUGUGGUGAAACCAAAGAGAGCUGUUUCUAGAGAGGAUUCUGUAAAGCCUGGUGCCCAUUUAA